AGUUUAUUGUGUUUGAGGUUGGAAUCACCAAGAGACCAAUUAACACCUUAUUUUUAGGAUUAGCCAUUCUGGUAUUUGCAGAUAGUUUCUUAAGCAGGACUGUUUGGAGUUCACACUGUAGGAGUAACUGAAGUGUUGAUAAAAGAGAUUCCAGAACAAAUAGAGAUUUCUACAGUAAAAGCUGGGGAGGUGUGUAGGGCUCCAGUCUUUGGGUUCACAGCUUGGCUCUACAUUCAUUGCUGGAGGAAUCCAAGCCUCACAAAAGACCACUUUUAAAGAAAAAACUCUUUUUUUCUUAGAAGAACUAGAAUAUGUAACACCGUUGUGAGAAAUAAAACCCCAAGGUGAACAAGAUUGAAAGUGAAGGCAGCACUCUAAGGAGGAAGCAAGCUGACUUGAAUGGUGAUGUAAGCAGCCUUGGAGCUUUAACCAAUCUUGAGUAAGAACUCCCUGACUUGGAAACACUCAAGUAUCCCACACGUGACUGGAUGGCCCUCGCCACACUGGGAACGGAAUGGGGGCCUCCCAUUGGAACUCGGGGUGGAGGCGGAAGCUCCACCAGCUAUUGU